GAGUUUGAUCGUGGCUCAGAUUGAACGCUGGCGGCAUGCCUUACACAUGCAAGUCGAACGGCAGCAUGAUCUAGCUUGCUAGAUUGAUGGCGAGUGGCGAACGGGCGAGUAAUACAUCGGAACGUGCCCUGUAGUAGGGGAUAACUAGUCGAAAGAUUAGCUAAUACCGCAUACGACCUGAGGGUGAAAGUGGGGGACCGCAAGGCCUCAUGCUAUAGGAGCGGCCGAUGUCUGAUUAGCUAGUUGGUGGGGUAAAGGCCCACCAAGGCGACGAUCAGUAGCUGGUCUGAGAGGACGAUCAGCCACACUGGGACUGAGACACGGCCCAGACUCCUACGGGAGGCAGCAGUGGGGAAUUUUGGACAAUGGGCGAAAGCCUGAUCCAGCAAUGCCGCGUGUGUGAAGAAGGCCU
rnacentral:rRNA from 1 species